rnacentral:lncRNA from 1 species
AAGCACAAUAACAUUCGACCUGCCGCCCCCCAAACGACUCAUUCUCCAGUUUGAGUUUGUUGAGCAGAGGCUGUGUAUGUUUUAGUUCUAUAAAGCCGUGUCCAUUAUAACAUUCAGUAAUCAAUUCAUUGCAUGAAGUAUUGCACCAUGCAAUCAAUUGUCAGUUCUAAACAUGUCUUUUCUCUAUGCUUGGGAUGCAUUUCCCUGCAUUUGACAGAGGGUUGGUGGUUGGAGCACAUCUUUGGAGCCGCUGAGCCGGAGGAGCCCGUAUUAAUCCUGCUGUAGGACUCAUUGCAGCCGGCACUGGCAGGUUGAACAAACAACAACCAAAAUGAACGAGGAUGCCCACAAGCCUCACAAGACUCGUCUGAAGGUCCUGGGUACCAGUAAUGAAUGCCUCAAAACCGAAGACCACAUGUAACCACGCCAGGCCAGGACCUCCACAUCCGGCUUCUUCACCAGCGGGAUCAUCUGAGACCAGCCACCCGGACAGCUGAUGAAACUGAGGAGUAUUUCUAUCUGUAAUAAAGCCCUUUUGUGGGGGAAUGGUCUGGACCUGUGUCCUCCCAGGCCCAACCAUGGCUAUGCCUCUG